rnacentral:rRNA from 1 species
CACGAACGCUGGCGGCAGGCCUAACACAUGCAAGUCGAGCGAGGACUUCGGUCCUAGCGGCGGACGGGUGAGUAACGCGUGGGAACGUGCCCUUUGCUUCGGAAUAGCCCUGGGAAACUGGGAGUAAUACCGGAUGAGCCCUUUGGGGGAAAGAUUUAUCGGCGAAGGAUCGGCCCGCGUUGGAUUAGGUAGUUGGUGGGGUAAUGGCCUACCAAGCCGACGAUCCAUAGCUGGUUUGAGAGGAUGAUCAGCCACACUGGGACUGAGACACGGCCCAGACUCCUACGGGAGGCAGCAGUGGGGAAUCUUAGACAAUGGGGGAAACCCUGAUCGAGCCAUGCCGCGUGAGCGAUGAAGGCCUUAGGGUUGUAAAGCUCUUUCAGCUGGGAAGAUAAUGACGGUACCAGCAGAAGAAGCCCCGGCUAACUCCGUG